rnacentral:rRNA from 1 species
UACGAAGGGGGGCUAGCGUUGUUCGGAAUUACUGGGCGUAAAGCGCACGUAGGCGGAUCGAUCAGUCAGGGGUGAAAAUCCCAGGGCUCAACCCUGGAACUGCCUUUGAUACUGUCGAUCUGGAGUAUGGAAAGAGGUGAGUGGAAUUCCGAGUGUAGAGGUGAAAAUUCGUAGAUAUUCGGAGGAACACCAGUGGCGAAGGCGGCUCACUGGUCCAUUACUGACGCUGAGGUGCGAAAGCGUGGGGAGCAAACAGG